rnacentral:rRNA from 1 species
AACGAACGCUGGCGGCGCGCCUAACACAUGCAAGUCGAACGAGAAGGCGUAGCAAUACGCUUGUAGAGUGGCGAACGGGUGAGUAAUACGUGGGUGACCUACCCUCGAGUGGGGAAUAACCCGCCGAAAGGCGGGCUAAUGCCGCGUACGCUUCCGUCCUCACGGGGACGGAAGGAAAGCUGUACCGUGGGUACGGCGCUCAAGGAUGGGCUCACGUCCUAUCAGCUUGUUGGUAGGGUAACGGCCACCAAGGCUACGACGGGUAGCUGGUCUGAGAGGACGAUCAGCCACACUGGCACUGCGACACGGGCCAGACUCCUACGGGAGGCAGCAGUGAGGAAUAUUGCGCAAUGGGCGAAAGCCUGACGCAGCGACGCCGC